GAUGAAGAACGUAGCGAAAUGGGAUAAGUAGUGUGAAUUGCAGAAUUCAGUGAAUCAUCGAAUCUUUGAACGCACAUUGCGCCCCUUGGUAUUCCAUGGGGCAUGCCUGUUCGAGCGUCAUUUGUACCUUCAAGCUCUGCUUGGUGUUGGGUGUUUGUCCUUGCUCUAGUGGCGGGACUCGCCUUAAAGUAAUUGGCAGCCAGUGUUUUGGUUUUGAAGCGCAGCACAAGUCGCGAUUCAAGUCUAUACGCUAGUUUCCACAAGUCUUUUAUCACUUUUGACCUCGGAUCAGGCAGGGAUACCCGCUGAACUUAAGCAUAUCAAUAAGCGGAGGA
rnacentral:misc_RNA from 1 species